rnacentral:lncRNA from 1 species
UUGAGUUAGAGCUGGUAGAAGUUUCUAUAAUUUUGAUAUUAUUUGUCUCACUGGUAGUACACUACACUGUAAAAAUCUUUUUGAGAAAGAGCAGGUGCGAUUUUUUUAAUUUGAAUUUAUUGUCUAAAAGAAAUGCACUACGAAAUAACUGUGUUCUCGGGCCAUUUUAAGGAAAUUUUGCUGUUUUUGGUUAUUAUCUUGAAUAUUAUUAUAGAUAGAGAUAAACUGUGAACAGCAAUAAUGUUCAGCAAAGUAAGAUUUACAAAUAAGUCAGCAUGACCAAAAUGGUCAGUUGACCACUGAAGGAGUUAUUGCCCUUGAUAGUCAAUUUUUAACCAUUUUUUCCUAAAUCUUAGUAAUCUUUUACAAAAAUCUUCUUCUCUGAAACUACUGGGCCAAAUUAAACUAAACUUGGCCACAGUCAUCAUUGGGGUAACUUGUUUAAAAAAUGAGUGGCGUGACCUGGCCAAUCAACCAAAAUGGCUGCCACGGCUAAUAAUAGAACAUAGGGGUAAAAUGCAGUUUUUGGCUUAUAACUCAAAAACCGAAGCAUUAAGAGAAAAUCUGACAGGGUUUAAUUGUUUAUCAGGUCAAGAUCUAUCUGCCCUGAUGUUUUCACAUGGAUCGGAUAACCCGUUGUUAGGUUACUGUCCUGAAUUGGUAAUUUUAAGGAAAUUUUGCCGUUUUUUGUUAUUGUCUUGAAUAUUAUUAUAGAUAGAGAUAAACUGUAUACAGCAAUAACGUUCAGCAAAAUAAGAUCUACAAAUAAGUUUACAUGACCAAAAUAGUCAAUUGACCCCUUAAGGAGUUAUUGCCCUUUAUAGUUAAUUUUUAACAUUUUUCAUAAAUUUUUGUUAAUUUUUAGAAAAUAUUUUCCACUGUAAUUACUGGGCC